AAGUGUACGUAGGCUGUGGGACAGCUGGCUCAGCAUUGGUCAUUCCAGUGAUCUGCCCAGUUAGGCCUCUGCCCUUCCUCCUUCCCUGCUUUAAAUGUAUCGCUCCUGGUCAGGGAAUAUGAUCUUUCCAGAUGAAGGAGUGUUGUUCUUGGGUCACAGGUUUUGAGUGAUUGGGCUUACCACGUAGAGACUUUCCACAAUUUCUCAAGGUCAUUUUUUAGAAUAUAGGGUAAUUGUACAUGCCUUAAAUAACAGAGGAUAACGAAAGAAUUUUAGAUUCUCCUGUGGUCUUC
rnacentral:snRNA from 1 species